rnacentral:rRNA from 1 species
GCCUCUGAACAAUAGGCCAUGAAUGUGUCCGAUCCCAUCAAAUUUCAGAAGCUAAGCAGAGCCCAGCUUGGAUAGUACUUGGGACUGGUGACCACGAGGGCUUGCCAGGUGUUGUAGGCA